GCUUGUAGUCAAACAGAAGGCAGAGCUGCGAAUCAAAUCCAGGUUUGUCUCGACAUGCCACUAGCUCAUACUUCCCUUGGAUCAGCCACUAAAUGGCUUUCACUCCAGUGAGCAGCGACCAGCACCAGAAUUAUGGAACAUUUAUCAACAGCCUAAAAUAAAGACAACACGAGGAGAAUUUGGUUGCUUAUAUAGAUUCAAGGUACAAUCCUGCUGGAUUCUGGGAUUACAGGACUGUAGACAAAAGAGAAAUCAUCAUGGACUGUUCACUGGACAAAAUUUCAUGGAGAGGAGAAGACCUUUGGCGGUUCAUGGAUGUUCUAUAAUAAGUUAGCAGGGAAAAUCAAUACCCAGAGAAGGGGAGAGACGUCCAUGGCACACAGGAGAGGACAGAGCCAAGAAUGAAUAUAGGACACCAGUGCCCCAACUCUUAACCACUACCAUACACGGUUUUAUAAAGUAAAUUUUAAAAGUCGACUUUAAAACA
rnacentral:lncRNA from 1 species